GGAGAGUUAGCUCUUGGCUCAGAUUGAACGCUGGCGGCAGGCCUAACACAUGCAAGUCGAGCGGUAGCACAGAGAGCUUGCUCUCGGGUGACGAGCGGCGGACGGGUGAGUAAUGUCUGGGAAACUGCCUGAUGGAGGGGGAUAACUACUGGAAACGGUAGCUAAUACCGCAUAACGUCGCAAGACCAAAGUGGGGGACCUUCGGGCCUCAUGCCAUCAGAUGUGCCCAGAUGGGAUUAGCUAGUAGGUGGGGUAACGGCUCACCUAGGCGACGAUCCCUAGCUGGUCUGAGAGGAUGACCAGCCACACUGGAACUGAGACACGGUCCAGACUCCUACGGGAGGCAGCAGUGGGGAAUAUUGCACAAUGGGCGCAAGCCUGAUGCAGCCAUGCUGCGUGUGUGAAGAAGGCCUUCGGGUUGUAAAGCACUUUCAGCGGGGAGGAAGGCGGUGAGGUUAAUAACCUCAUCGAUUGACGUUACCCGCAGAAGAAGCACCGGCUAACUCCGUGCCAGCAGCCGCGGUAAUACGGAGGGUGCAAGCGUUAAUCGGAAUUACUGGGCGUAAAGCGCACGCAGGCGGUCUGUCAAGUCGGAUGUGAAAUCCCCGGGCUCAACCUGGGAACUGCAUUCGAAACUGGCAGGCUAGAGUCUUGUAGAGGGGGGUAGAAUUCCAGGUGUAGCGGUGAAAUGCGUAGAGAUCUGGAGGAAUACCGGUGGCGAAGGCGGCCCCCUGGACAAAGACUGACGCUCAGGUGCGAAAGCGUGGGGAGCAAACAGGAUUAGAUACCCUGGUAGUCCACGCCGUAAACGAUGUCGAUUUGGAGGUUGUGCCCUUGAGGCGUGGCUUCCGGAGCUAACGCGUUAAAUCGACCGCCUGGGGAGUACGGCCGCAAGGUUAAAACUCAAAUGAAUUGACGGGGGCCCGCACAAGCGGUGGAGCAUGUGGUUUAAUUCGAUGCAACGCGAAGAACCUUACCUGGUCUUGACAUCCACAGAACUUUCCAGAGAUGGAUUGGUGCCUUCGGGAACUGUGAGACAGGUGCUGCAUGGCUGUCGUCAGCUCGUGUUGUGAAAUGUUGGGUUAAGUCCCGCAACGAGCGCAACCCUUAUCCUUUGUUGCCAGCGGUUAGGCCGGGAACUCAAAGGAGACUGCCAGUGAUAAACUGGAGGAAGGUGGGGAUGACGUCAAGUCAUCAUGGCCCUUACGACCAGGGCUACACACGUGCUACAAUGGCAUAUACGAAGAGAAGCGACCUCGCGAGAGCAAGCGGACCUCAUAAAGUAUGUCGUAGUCCGGAUUGGAGUCUGCAACUCGACUCCAUGAAGUCGGAAUCGCUAGUAAUCGUAGAUCAGAAUGCUACGGUGAAUACGUUCCCGGGCCUUGUACACACCGCCCGUCACACCAUGGGAGUGGGUUGCAAAAGAAGUAGGUAGCUUAACCUUCGGGAGGGCGCUUACCACUUUGUGAUUCAUGACUGGGGUGAAGUCGUAACAAGGUAACCGUAGGGGAACCUGCGGCUGGAUCACCUCCUU
rnacentral:rRNA from 1 species